rnacentral:rRNA from 1 species
CAGUAGCCGCGGGAACACAGAGGGUGCGAGCGUUAAUCGGAUUUACUGGGCGUAAAGCGUGCGUAGGCGGCUUCUUAAGUCGGAUGUGAAAUCCCUGAGCUUAACUUAGGAAUUGCAUUCGAUACUGGGAAGCUAGAGUAUGGGAGAGGAUGGUAGAAUUCCAGGUGUAGCGGUGAAAUGCGUAGAGAUCUGGAGGAAUACCGAUGGCGAAGGCAGCCAUCUGGCCUAAUACUGACGCUGAGGUACGAAAGCAUGGGGAGCAAACAGGAUUAGAUACCCCUGUAGUCCCUGUGUCUUAUAU